GUUAAUAAUUUAAGAUCAAUAACCAAAUAAUGAUUUGAGAAUUAAUCGAAGUAAUAGACAGUAAAGCAUUGAAUAAUAAUCGAAUAACGAUCGAAUAACAAUCGAGAGUAGUCGAAUAAAUAACUAAAGAAAUAAUAAUCGAAGAUAAUCGAAUAUAAGAAAAAUCGAAGUAUAAUAAUUUAACAGUCAAGAAAAUAAGCCAAGAAAUGAUCAAAAAAAAUAAUCGAAGUAAAAAUCUAAGAGAUAAUCGAUGAAAUCGAAAACGGCCUAUACAGCUGUUUAUAUAAAGAGCGUUGACCAAUCAGCAAAGGAUAGCUUGCCACUGCAUUGUCAUUGGUCCGUCGUGGCUUGCGGCGAAGACGUCCAAAGGAAUCGUUCGAUGCGACGCUGCGUUGCCGGCUGUAAGCAUUUGGAAGUUGCGUAUAGUGAAGAUGGAUCUCCAUGGACUUGUGCUCGUCUCGUGCAUGAAGAGUCUGCUGUUCCUCGACUCCUUGUAUACGUAGACUUAAUUAGGUCAUAUCAAUCUUUAUGUAUAAUAGUGUUAUAUAUAUAUAUAUAUAUAUAUAUAUAUAUAUUAGAAUAUGUGUAUUAGUAAAUAAUUAUGAUUCCGCAUAAAACAGAUUCCAGUAACAUAAACAAAUACGAAACAAAAACGAGAUGUCGCUUAUUCAAAACAAUAUUAGAAAAAAUUUAGAGUCUCAUUUUAUAGUUUCAAGUUGGCAUAGGAUGUAAUAUUACUUCCUCUUAUUUGAAAAUAUACGUACAUAUACGUACAUUUUAGAAUCCUUGUGUAUAGGAUUUAAUUUGAUAUAUGUGUUCUAUCUAGAUUUUCUGUUGCGUCUCCCUCUUCUUCGCGUGUUACGUAUGAUUCUCAAGUAUCUUCGUCUCCUGCUCUUUUCGGUUUUCUAGCUAAAUAAAUUAAGAGAUGUGUGAGUGAGUCUCAUUACGUGCAGCCUCCACCCAUAAUGCGUAUCCAUGUAAGAGAAUCUUGGCGAUGUAUUUUGUGGAUCGAAAAAUAAUGAAUAUCCGAAGAUAUUUCCUGAUCAAAAAGUAACGAAUGCUCUGCAGAGUCGUUCACCUAUGUUUGCGACGAUCUUGUCCAGUGAGUCUUCGUCCAUGAGAUUAUAUAAUGAAAUUUUUCCUGUGGGUAUAUGUUUUCAACUAAUUCCUCUGACGAAUGUGUCAAGGAUGGCGGGUUUCUUUAUGGGUUCCAUAAUGUGUGAUCUCAACUUAUUGAGGUCACGAUUAACUUCCAUUUGUUCCAGAUAUUCAGGAUCGGUGUACUCGAUGUUACUUGAUACUGUACUGUGUACAUUGUAUAUGUAAGAAGCAACUCGUUGCAAUCCUUUGAUGAACCUUUCUAUAUUAUUCGGGUUUUUGGAGCCAAGAAAUAUGAUUUAUUUUGAUACAUUAUGGGUAAUUCCCUGUAGCAGUCUGCUACUUGCCGUAUUUUUACUUCGGUUGCAACACAUUUAAUUAAGUGAAUUACUACUACUAUAUUUAGUGUCGCUUGUUUAUUACUAUGUAGGCCAUUCAGGAGAACAAUUAACUCGCUAUGCUGCACUUUACUAAAACCGUAUAUCAAUUAUAUGAUUUCCACGAAGCAAUUUUAUCGGCAUUUUGAUUUAUUCAAGUAGUGUUCUUUAAGAAGUAUACACAAUCCCCUAUCUGGAAUUUACCGACUUCUAUUUCUUAUCAUGAUAUUGUUUUUAUCUUACCUUUGCCUGAUUUAACACGUUCACGCCAGCACUGCUAUUUGCGCUUCUCUCUAUGGAGCGGCGCUUAUAUUAAUGCUUUACUUCAUCCUACUUUUUUUCAAUUAAUAUAUGUUAAAUUUCCAUUAUUGAAAUUUUAACUAUGUGGCAAUUUUUAUUAAGUUAUUAAACGAACUAAAUUUUUAUUGAUAUGCUCACUCUGACGGAAAAUUCAAGUGUAUGUAAGAUUUGUACGCGCCGGUAUAAACGUCUUAAAUUAUGUCUAGCAGCUUCUUGAGAUCUAUUCAAUUGUUCGUUUGACUUUGCUAAGUAAUACGCAUAAAUUUUGUUUCGCAAAUUAUUUAUGGAAAUCAUUUGGCAUUCUGGCUAACUCACCAAAGACGAGCUCAUGUGGUGUGUACUACGUACAUGGCAUUUGGAUUCCUUUCCAUGAUAUGAUUUUUUUCCAUAAAGUUUAUUUUGCCUGAGUUUUUAAAGAAAUUUGUCGAGUAUACCGCCAUGAGGGAUAGGGAAACAGUUCGGGACUAAGUGGAAUUGUAUCGGACGUUCAUAAAUGUCGAGAGUGCAUGGACCGUAGGUCGUGAUCGUUUCAUUGGUAAUUACUGUGGUGAUAAACCCUUUCUCUACGGGCGAUUUCUCCGACGCGGCACUCCCGCUGUACGAGCCGCCACACCAGAAAUAUACACGGUACUCAAAAGAAAUCAACAGUGACUGCAUUUAUGUCUCAUUGCAACCCGAGUUGCUAACGGCAUUUAUUGGGGAAAAAAGAAAAAAAAAACCUUAUCUCAAAAUGGGGUGAUAUUGUUCGAAACACGGUGGUACACAUAGACCAACAUCGCAAAUCCGGUAUUAGUAUCACGAUUCGCUCCUCCUGUCAUUUUUUGAACAUACGAGACACUUUCGCAACGUGUUCUUUCGUUUUGUAUUUUCAUUUGUGUAAAGUGAAGGAAAGUGUCUUCCCGUAAGACGACGUGGAUUGGUUUCUCUUGAUUCAUUUAAAAUGUUAUUGUUAUUUUCCUCUAGAUAAUGAUUUAAAAGUUGCUGAAUUAACUGUAGGUGAAAUUUUGCUAUUGAUAUUUGUUUGCCAAUUUUUUAUUUAUAUAAGCAAUAAGCGUUCCAAACGCAUAUAUCUAUUAAAUGAAAAAAUAUUUUUUGUACCACUUCAUAUUUUUGCAUUGUGAAUAAAUGGUGCUGAUAACCCUGUCCGUUUUGUUCACAGUUCCCAUUAUUCGAUUAUAAUCGACAAUACACUUUGGUUUUUUUACCAUUUCUUGUAUGCGAUAGUGACAUUUCGUGUCAACAAAUUCUUUAUUAUGGAAAGUGAACAACAUAUAGACUUUCUUUUUGUCACGCCAUUUAAUUGCUAAUGAAAGAUUUGAGAAGCGAAAAUUCGCAUCACCCGUUUUUUAUUUAUUUUAGAUAAUUAGCAUGCCCUUUUCUUUACUGUCUUUUCCUUAUUGUUUCACAAGCAUUAAUUCCAUUUUUAUGUAGAAGGAUAAAAUGAGCUGGACUUGUGUAUCAAUUAUUCACAUACAAUGUAUGGCCUUUAUGUAAAUAAGGUUUUACUACUUGCAUGACUAUAACCCCCGAUUUGUCAAUACUUUCACUUUCGCAGGUUGCAAAACUCAAUGCUCUAUUAUAAAUUAUAAAAUCUUGUACAAAUCCGGAUUGGGUAUCGCAUAAAAUAAACGAUUUGAUCCCAAAUCUAUCUCUUUUAGAGGGAAUGUGUUGUUUAAACGACAAACUUCCCUUAUACAAAAGUAAACUCUCAUCGAUAUAUAAAUUUUCGAAAGGAUAAAAUAUCUUUCGAAAACUUUUUCUAAACAUAUCGCAAAUUUCCCGUAUUUUGUAUAAUUUGUCAGUAUUUGCAAUCACUUUAUUAGUAUUAAAAUGUAAAAUUUUUAACAAAUAUAAAAAUCGAUCUCUACUCAUGACCUCCAAAAAUUUUGUUCGAUAGUUCGUCGUUGGACCAGUAUUCAUAAUGUGACAAUUUUUUAUUUCGCCACAUUAAUAAUUUUAUGGCAAGAAAGCAAUAAAUUUCUGGGAGAAAAGCGUUUCGGAAAUUUAUCAUAUUAGCAUCUUCAUCAAUUCUACUCCGAUAAUCGUUUGUCGUGCUAACAAUGAAACUUAUAAAAUUUUCGGAGCAGAAUAAUUUGAAAAAGAAACUCAAACUGAUGCCGAAUAAUCAAUUGAUGUUUUUAUCCCCAAAUAAUUGCAAUGAAAUUUAUGAAUAUCCAGUCGGAAUAAUUCGAUAGUCCAUGUAAUUUCUCUACUAUCUUUUCCAGAUUCAGUUGAAUUGUCUUCUUCAGAUUCGGAUGUAUCGAAUGUAUUUUCUCGAAUUCUUUUAUUAUUUGCCUUAUGUCAAAUUUAAAUUUAUUUGUUCAUCUUCUGAUAACUCUGAAUAAUUCUGAUCUAUAUUAACCUAUCUUACUUUUCAUCAUUUUAAAGGGUAGGAUAAAAUCUGUUAAAAAAUACUAAAUCUAAAUAAAGAUAAACAAAUUUAAAAAAUAACAAAGUAUAUGUGUCUGUUGUUGGAUACAAAGCGAAUUAUCUUUCUUCAAUAGGCACUAACUUUAUUCGUUGCAAACAUUUGAAUGAGUGCAACCAAAUUGAUUUGGCGACUUUCAUGAUUGAGCAAUCUUGUGAGAAACAAAAGACUGAUGCUAUAGUUCCAAGGAAAAAUAUUCGACAUGCAAUAACUCCAAUCGCUUAUAUGUACAUUACGCGUCAUUUUAUGCAAAGCGAUUAUAGUCGUCCAUGGUAUGUCAGUGGCCUCGCUCUCCCUCCCCCCUCUCUUCCUCUCUCUCUCUUCCUCUCCCUCCUUCUCUCUCUCUCUCUCCCCCCCUCUCUCCUUUACUAGUUUAAAUAAAACAGCAAACAAUGAAAAUAGCUUGAACAAAAAUGAUGGUAGUUUCUUAGGGAAAAAUUACCAACAUACAAAGUAAGAUUUCUUUAUCAAUAUGUGUAUGUGUGUAUAAUACUUGCGAGCUUAUUCUGGUUAGAAAUCUGAAAGAUCAUCUUUUUUUGAUUUCAUGGAGUAUUUUCUCACUAUUUGAUUCGUCAUGUCUACACUGAAUUUAAUGUUAUUGUAAAAUCUGGUCGUUUCAGAUAUACGUCUUUCACUUUUUCCACUUUAUAUAAUUUUAUGCUUUGAGCUUAGUAGAAAUACUGUUUGUGUUAAAAUGAUCAAACUAAACAUGAAAUCUAACAUUCAAUAGUUUUCGACAAUGCUAAAUCUUGCGCGUAUUUGUUGCUACUUAAUUGGGAAACGAACUAUGCUCGAUAGAUGCUUAUGACGUUCGAUUAUGACUCUGUGGGAGGGCUACUAUAAAUGAAAACGUAUCAGUUUCAAAUACCCUGUCAUAAAUAUACUGCAUUACGUCACGAUUGUUGAUAUCACUCAAAAUAUUUUUCAACAAACAACUACGAUAAUAUACAGCAAUAAAUUAUUUUACUUCAAAUAACUAAAAACAUAUUUUUUGAUAAAAAAAAAAUUACAUUAGAUGUAAAUUAUAAUGAAAGUCAAAUGCGAUGUAGAUAAAAAAUUCUGCCAGAAAGUUUAAAAAGGAUCGUUUGAUUCGUCGUGAUAAAUUCAAUGUUAACUUCUCUUUUUUUUUCGCAAAUUUUGAAGGACAAUGUAUGAAAUUGUUUCUUCGCCAAAAAUGUCGAAAAUAGCAUUUACACCAACAAUAAUUCUAGCAAUUCGAUGAACAAUGUUUCAUUUUAAAGAUGAAGGUUUAAGUAAGAACUCCUUUUUUUGGAAUUUUUAGGAAAGCUUUUCUUAUAGAUAAAUAAAAAAAAUUUUCAAAAAAUAUUUUUAAAUCAUCAGUAGCGAUAGAUUAUAACAAAAAUAUGAGUAGAAUUGACAUGGGCGAUCAAAUGUUGAGUAAAUUUCAUACCAUAUUAAGAUGUGCGUUUGUUUUGAACUGUCGUAUCGAUCGAUCGUAUUUACUCUCCGUGAUCUCGUUUACUUGUAUCAAUAGAAGUGAUAUUCAAAUUCUUUGAAAUCAAUAGAAUUCAUAUUCACAACAAUAUAAAUGUGGCGGUCUUAAUUCCUGCUAAUAUUGAAUGUCCUAACGACGAGUUUCAUACUCCUUAUACUAAUAACCAACAACAAAUGAUUCAACAAUGGAAUAUAAAAUUAAUGAUACAAACAUCUUAUAUAUCUUAACUAAAACAGAAAAUAAAACUAAUGAAGAAUGAAAUACUCGAGAACAAAUAAAAAAAUAAAAACUGGAAAUGUCUACCUCAACGUCAGAAUUAAAAACUAAAUUAGUAAGAAUACAAUCCAAGUCAAAGUAGCUUGAUGACCAUCAAAAUGAAAAUAGAUAUAUAGUGCUAUAAAAUUCAUAUUCAGAGACAGAAAAUGAUAUAACUAUCAACAUAUCUCAAGUACCACUGUUUUAUAUCGAAGCUCCUAAUAUUGAUCCGCUAAUAGAUAUAUUAAAAAAACUAAUAAAUCUUAAGGAAUUUAUUCUUAAGCAGUUCAGAGAUGAACAAAUUAUAUUACAAGUAUACUCUACCGACACUUAUAGAACAAUAAUUAAAACUCUCUAGAAGCAACGAUGCAAACUACUAUACUUUUAAAACAAAAACAGAAAGGAAAUUCAAAGUGAUAAUAAAAGGAUUGCAUUCUACAUUAAAUAUUGAGUAUAUUAAAACUGACUUGCAGGAAAAAGGACAUAUACUAAGUAAGAUUUUACUAAAAGUGGCACAUCAAUUCUGAUACCAAUGUUUCUAAUAGAAAUUGAACAAGCUAUAAAUAAUGAAGACAUAUACAACAUAUCGGCUUUAUGUAAUACACUAAUUAAAACUGAACUACCAAAAUCAAACAGACAACAUUCCACAAUAUACCAAAUGUCAAAGAUGUGGAUAUACUAAGAAUUAAUGCAACAAAGAACCUAAAUGUGCCAAAUAUGCAGGAACCCAACUUUCUCAUAACUGCCCACUGGGCAAAAAUAUUGAAAAAAUUAGCUGCUUGAAUUAUGGUAACAGUUAUUCAGCCAACUAUAAAGGCUGUAUUAUAAAAAAGCAACUCCAAAAAAAACUUCCACAAAAAAAAACAAUUAAUUGGAAAUAGAAAUACACAAAACAAAAUUGCUCUACAAGUAAACAUAGCUAUUCAAAACACGAUUAACAUACAAACACAGACAUUAACAACAAACUAUAAAUCACACAAAGCUAGGUGAUAAUCAAACAGAAGAUUCAAAUGAGAAGAUUCAAUUUUGUUAAAUUGGAAACACUAAUAGAAAAUCUGACACACUAAACGACAAUAAUACUAAAUCUAUUAACAAAAUUAAUUACAUUUUAAGAAUCAAAUCAAGCAAAAUUGAAAUGAUAGAGUGGAAUUAUAACGAAUUACAAAAUAGACUAUUAAAGAUAAUUCUAAAUCAACUAGACAAACAUUGUUGCAAUAUCAGAAACAUAUAGAAUAGAAAAAUCACAUAUAAAGAUUCCAUACUACAUUUACUAUAGUACUCCGCAUCAGAGCAGUAAGGCACGCGAUAGUCGGGAAUAUUCAUCAAACAUUUGUCAAACUAAUUAAUAAACUCUUAUCAAACAGAAUACAAGCUCAACACAAAAAACGAGCAACUACAGUCAAUGUCACUUGAAAUGAUCAUGAAUCAACAUCUCAGAUGCUCACCAAAGGCAUCAAAUAACUGUAGAGGAAUACAAAAAUUUUUUCAAAUCUUAUGCAGUGAGUUUACUAUUAUGGGAGACCUCAAAGCAAAACAUGACUUUUGGGACUUCAUAAUAACCAAUUCCAAAAGUAAUAAGCUUUUUUCAAUAUAUAAUAAAAAAUCAAUUAAGAGUUUACUCAUUGGGAAAACCAAUGUAAUGGUCAAUUGAUUUAAACAGGACUCCUAUUUUAGAUAUUGCUAUCACUAAUACAAAUUUAAACAUACAAAUGAAAAGACUACUUGAAGUAACUUCUGAUUACACACCCAUAAUCUUUGAAAUCGAUCAAAGAGCAUUCAAAAAUGUACAAAUAACACUAACGAAUAGUACUAUUAACUUGAUAGCAUAUAGGGACUACAUAAACAACAGAGACUAGAAUAUUACAUUCUACUAAAAAAUAGAUAAGAUAUAGAAAUAACAGCAGAAAUAUUAACUACUACAUUUCAACUGUUACAAACAAACUGCAGCAUAUAUUACAACAAAACAUAAAUUAUAUGAGCUAAGAACAAACAAAUAUCACAGUACAGAGUAAUAAAAAAGAAGAAAAGAGUAAAGAAACUAUGACAAAGUAGAAAAUGGCCACAAUAUAAAAUUAUAAUAAACAAAAUCACCAUCAAAAUUAAACAUGGAAUCAAUAAAACAAAUAAUACUAAUUUCACGAACUAUAAUAAAAAUUUGAACUCUUCUAUCUGUUUUUAACUAUCAGGAACAAAUUGUUAUCAUUUUAUUGGGACGUCCUACCUCAUCCUCCAUACUCUUCGGAUGUUGCACCGUGUGAUUACUACUUAUUUCUUUUAUUAAGAAAUUCUCUUUGCAAUAAACAAUUUAAUACAAUGACAUAAAAAUGCAUCUAAAAUAAUAUUUUUUGUAGGAAACCAUAGAAUUUCUGGAAAGAUUCCAUUAUGCGGAGAGAUGGAGAAAGGUAAUAGAAAAAAAUGGAUCAUACAUCAUUCAAUAAAAUAAUAUAAAACAUAAAAUGUUGUAGAUCUAUUAUUGUCUUAUAAUACGAAAGAAACUUUUGGGACAACCUAAUAACUACGUGAUAUAAACGCCUAAGCAGAUAAUAAAAUUUGCCAAAUGUUUUCAUUGAAGAAAUUGUAAAGAUUAUAAAAGUUUGAAAAAAAAAGAAAGAAAAAAAUCUUUUUUGCAGAAAUGUAUGCCACUAUCUAUAACGUAGACCAAUUCGGAUACCACAAAAUGCAUAUUGAAAGAAUAUUGUAGUACAAAGGAACUCCAAAAGAUACAACUGUUAUCGAGUCAGAGAUAAGAAGUUAGUAAAAUUUUCUCUAACAAGAAGCAAUUAUACAGAAAAACAACAUUCAUUUGAAAUACUCAUCAUCUGGGAAAUUGGACAAAAACUUGUUAAAUAUUGGUUCGAAGAUGUAUUCUUCCCAGAAGUUGAAAGAUUAUCGUCAAAAUCUGCAAUGCUAAUUGCUUGAUUUGGAUUCAACUUCCUAGGAAUGGAAAAAGAGCUAAAUAUAGCUAGGAGACAAAUCCAAUUAUGAAAACAUGUAUUACAAAUAUAUAGUCAACAUGAUAUCUUAAAAAAUUUUUUCCGGAUUCUGGACUAUCUCCUCCGAAUGAUGCAGAGUUUUCUAAGAGAGCUCCUUUAUGAGACCACUGAAGAACCCCGCAGAAAAAAUAUCACCGGAGGAUCCAUUCAGGAAUCUAUCCUGGUCCUAUGAAAAGUCUUCUAUGGAUGAAAACCUGCACAUGGACAUGCCAGAGGGAUUUAUUUAGUUGGCUACGCAGAUAACAUCGUCGUAGUAAUAAAUUGGUAAAAAAGAUUAAAAAUUAUCAGAGAAAUAAAGAAAAAUCCAACAAUAAGUGACCCAAAAUUGGCUGUGUUUGGUUUAAUCCUUUACACUCGGGUGUCUCCUCUGAGAGAACAUCGAAAGUUUAGCAUAUCACUCAGAGGGGACAUUAGAGUUGAUUAGUGUUAUGAUGGAUUAACUAACACUAUCGCAACUUUUUGAAAAAUGCAUGUUUCUCUGGUGUUUUCUAUUAAAAUGGCAUAAAAAAGCAAAUUAAAAAUGGUACAAUUACCAAGAUAUAUGAAAAAAAUAUCAGCCAGUAUACAGAAGAGAACAUGCAAAAUGUAUUCACGACUGUUUAAAGAGAAUGAUAAGAAGGAUUUACAUAGCAAUUGUAUGCGAGUAUGUCUUGUACAAUAAAAUGAAAUUUGAUAAAAUAAACAAGCAUUCCCAAAAUUGGAGAAAGAGAUUUUCGAAGCUGAACUCAGUACAUAUUGAAGCAUCGAGCAGUAUAGAUAGAUCCCUGCAUUAAUAAGACAGAAAAUCAGAAAAGCAAUAUUCUUUUGGUAUACAUAUAUCGUUUUGUAAUUUCGUAAUUUACAAUUAAAGAUUUCUAACCUAUUUAUUUAUCCAUUUUUUUUUUUAUUAGAGUAAUGACAAAAUGACCAAACACGACUAAGUUUCAUGAUAUAAAUAGUAGUGAAAACGAAUUUCAGAUAAAUAUUUAUACAGAUAGGUUAGAAAAAAUAUAUAUUAAUCUACAAGAAAAUAAUAAUAGUAAUAGCGAUAUCAUCCAAUCAAGAAAACGAAGAAAUAGUUAAAUAAUAGAUUGUAAUAGCAAUAAUAAUGGUGCAGAAAAAUUUUUUCAAAACUUAUCAUACUGUAGAAAAUUAUAAGGAAUAAAAUUUUGAUUUUUUUGCAAAAAAUAUGUUCCUCAAUAUCUAUAAAUUUAUAUAAAUCAAAUAUUAUUAUAAUUCAUUAAGCUAUACUAUAUAAUAUGAUGCGAAUCUUAGGUCCACCUUUUCGCGACAAUGUACCACCGAAUUACUGAUAACGUUCGAAAUGGCUCCGAAUGCAAAAUGUUAAAAUACUUUAAUAAAACAGUAUCUGCCAAAAUAUGUAGGAGAAUUUGAAAAAGGAAGGCUAUAAUAAUGAAGCCAUUUGUUAACACUUUUCAUGCAGAGCCGUUUUUGCUCGACUUUUCAUUUAAGUUAAUUGAUAUUUUGACUAAAGAUUGAUAUAUUAUCAUAUAAUAUUUCAUCAAUCCAAAAAUAAUUUGCUUGUAUAUGGUAGUUAUUGCAUCGCAUACCAUCCCUGAUACACGCUAUAACCAGUUUCAGCUUUUUGAUUAAUAACAAGAAUCUGUACCUGUUCAAAUUUGUUCAGGAAAAAACGAGAAAAAUAAAAUAUUUAACAAAAGAGGGAAUAGGUGAAUAACAUAAGACAUAACAAUAGGAAAUAACAUUUUUUCUUUUUCAUUUGUGGAAAACAAAUUUUUUUUAUUAACUUUCAUUAGUUUAUUCUUUUAUCUUUUAAUUUUUUGUAUCGAUUCAAUUAUCCAAUUUUCUAUUUUUAUCCCUAAUGACAGUCAAUAGAGAAAUGUAAGACUCAGUUCUAAUAUUAUUUUUAGCGACAUAGAACUUCUAUAUAGAAACGCUUGUGCAAAUCUAUAUUAUUAUCUUUCAAUGAAACAAGCAAUACAUCAAUUACAAAACUAUAUAUCGAAAUGUUGCUGAUAAUUUAUCAGACCAAUGGAUAAAUACAAGUGGAAACCAACCUUUACUCAUACCAUUCAUGGGUGCACUUGGAAUAACAUUAUUCUUGGAUUAUUUGCAUGAAGAAGAAAAUUUUUACCUAUUAUUUAUUAACGAAGAAAUGUUCCAAGACAUAGUAGAACAGACUUAUACAUACGUGAUGCAAACAUUGGCUCAGAAAACGAUCACACAAACAAAUGAAUUCCCAGCAACAAAAGGCAAUUAAAAAAACUUUUCAGGCUUCUCAUUUAGAUGGGAUUAGUAAAAUUACCCGAAAAACACUUAUAUUAGUCCAAAGAUCCAACAUUCGUUGAAAGCUUUCCUGGAUCAGUAAUUCCAAGAAAUCGCAUUAAAAUACUGUUACGAAUGCUGCGUUUUGUAAAUGCAAAUUUUGAAAAUUGCCUAUAAAAUCAAACCAAUUAUUGAAAAACUAAAGAAAAAUUAUGCAAAAUAUUAUAAUCCAGUCAAAGUAAUAUGUAUUGGGGAAUCUAUAAUACCAUUUCGCAACCACAUCGUUUUUAUAUAAAACCUAAACGGCACCAAUAUAGUGUAAAGCUAUUCAAAUGAAGCUUCAAACUAGGAUAUACCUAUAACUUUGAAAUAUACCGGGAUAAAUGAUUUAGCAAGAAGAAAACUAUUUCCACAGAUGUUGCCACUUCACUUUGUAAAAUAUUGUUGAUAAAGAACAUACUUGAUAAUUGGUAUACUAGCAUAGAUUUAGCAGAAGAAUUUAUUGUUAAAAACAUACAUAUAAUAGAAACGAUUCGAUCAAAUCGUCAUAAAAUUUUCAAAGAAAUAAUGUAAAAAAAUUACAACCAGGAGAAAUAUUUACAAAAUAAAAUAAAGUUAUGAAAUAAACGCGAUGUUUUUCUAUUAUCUACCAAACAUUCUACAAAUAUGGCUGGUGUUAAAAAAAAAAGAAUAUGAUAACGUUUAAUUGAAACUUUUUAUUGAUUAUAAUGAAGCCAAGAGUUCCAUUGAUAUUUCUGACCAAUUAACACUAUACAGUAAUCCAUUACGUAAAACUUUAAAAUAGUAUAAAAAAGUAUGAUUUGAGCUUUUAUUAAAUACAUCAGUUGUAAAUACUUGAAUAUUAUAUAAUACUCAGCAACAUAAAUCUAUAUCAAUAUAAAAUUCAGAAGACAAGUUAUUUAUUCACCUCACUGUUAGGAUGAAAACAACGAUUUAUCCGUUCAAAUUACGACAAACGCUACAAAACGUCAUGAAAUUAAAAAAUAGAAGGGCAAAGUUAGAAAACAUUGCACUUCUUGUUAUAAACAAAAUAUAAAACAUUUGAUAUUGAAGUAGCAAGAUAAAAAAUUAUGAGAAUAGUAACGUUUUACAUCCGAACAAGCUCUUUUAUGCAUUCCUUGUUUUAACAAAGUGAAUCAUAUGUAAUUAUUAAAUAUUGUAAAUAUAAUAAUUAAACAAAAUUAUUUGUUCUAUAUUACAUAUUUUAUAAUACCUCAUUCUUUUGAUGAAAAUAUAUUCUACAGUUUUAAAGUUAUUAUAAAAUAUAUUUUUUUAGCGAAUUAAAUAAAUACAGCACUACUGGUGGGAAAGUUCAACUCAACAUGAUAAACUAUUUCAAACCAUAUGUAGAAACUUGGUUUGGUGUAUAAAUAUUGUAGAUGGAUGCCUUAUUAAUUAACUGAAAAAAUGUACAUGGUCGAGUCAUUGUUUGCACAUCUCUGCUUACUCGAAAUAAAAACGAACCUUAGAUCGGAUGAUGACCAGUGAUAAAAAGUAGAUUACAUAUGAGAACAUUGUAAGAAAAAGAGCGUACUGUGAUUCCAGAUCUUUUCCCUUCACUUCGAAAUCGAGCUCGAACUUCAAUAAGAGAAUGUUGUAUAUAUGAUGGGAUAUCAAAAGGCUAAUACACUGUGAACUGCUGAAAUCCAAGGGAAAUACGUUUUUACAGGAUAUAAGAGUCCCACACAUAGAAAAGCAAGCCAACUCCUGGAGGGUGCAUAAUGCAUUUUCCUUCUCAAAAAAUAGGGAAAAAAACCAUAUCGCUCUGAUAGACAUCGACAUUUUGCAACAACACAAUAAUAUAACAAUCGAAUCCCUGAUUCAUUAUCAAUUUUUAACUGAAAAAUUUAAGGAUAUAAUUAAGAAUGCUUGGUUUAAAACUGAUUAUGCUGUCGAAAAAGACAAUGCUAUUUUUGAAAUAUCACAUUCCGCUAAAAGAUGUUGCCAAGUUAUGAAUAUUUAGUUUGUCUUGCUGGUCUAAGUAUGAAAGAGACAGUAUUUGCUCAUUGUAAUCAUUGUGAAAAUUAUUAUUGCUUCUAUCACUUUUUUAAAUUUUUUAAUUGAAAAAAUUGUUAUGAUUUUUUGACUAUUAUCAUUUAUUAUGAUUAAUUUUUUCUUAUUAUUUUUUAUUAAUUUAUUAUGAUUUAUUUAUUAUAAUUUAUUUUUAUAUAAUAAAAUAAAAUAAAGGUUUUGUCAUUCUCUUUUCUUCACUUUUCUUCUUUCUUUCUUUUUAUCUCAUAUGAUCUCUCGAGGUCAGACCAGCUUUUGAUAAUACUCAUAAUUUACAUUUUCAAUCUAGAUUAAAAAGUCUGCGAUUUUAUCAUCAAUUGAAUAUUAUUUCUUAGAAGCAAACUGGAUUCUAAGACAAAGAAACUGCUGUUCAUGGAUUAUAAUAACGAAUUCUCCAACUAACACAUCUAUGAUUCAUUCAGGAGAACCAUUACUGCAUUCCAUGAGAGAAAAACGGAAGUAUUCAUUCAACACCAAAUACAGUCAGCUAGAACAUACUGACUUGAUGUCCUCAAUGAAAAAGAUCCCAGUGGAUUCAUACCAUCCAUCAUAGAUAACAACGAGAAUCUAAAUGAGCAGCAGUCGACUUUAGGGUUUCAACUUUACGACAAAUCCAUUUUGCGGUCACCAGUCAAGUACAAAACCAUUAUUGCUGAAUUUUAUGAACUCUCAAUAUUCCAGGAAGCAGUAACUAGUCCAGACUCUACAGAAUGAAGCAGGACCAACAAGGGGCUGAUCGGAGAAAAGCAAUGUGGUCAAUAGUGCCCUCUAUUGAAAAGAACAUUCAUCCGAUUGACUCAAAAUGCAAAGAACUACAGAUCAAUGGACCAUUGUAUGAAUGGAUUCAUGUUAGAGAAUUCGUAUAAAGAGUUGGUCUGGAUUACUUCAAAACGUUCUCAUUAUUAGGUAUAAUUCUCUGCAAAUAUUGCUAUCCAUAGCCACACAUGAAAAUCUCAAAAUGGUUCAAUUUGAUCAUUCUUGUGUGGCGAACUUGAGAAUGAAAUUUUCAUGAAGGUUCCAGAUGGUCUAAAGGUCAGUAUUACUAAUACUCGAAAAUUUGUAAGUUAAUCUUUUCAGAAACUUGUUACAAUAUAUGUCGUACAGCACACACUUAGACAUUGCUUCAUUAAAACAACAAAAUUUCUCAGACUUUCUCAAGUAUUACAAUUUUAUAAUCUAUAACUCCAAUUACUGUAUAUACAUAAGUAGGAUAAGCGAUAAGAACAUUAACUUAUGUUUAUUUGUAAAUAAUGGAUUAAUUGUAGCCAGGGUAAGAACAGUUCUUGAAGCAAUGAUCGAAAUUCUCUUUAAGUCUUUUAAAAUCAAUCUUGGCUACUAUAUUAGGAUACAAAUUGAUAGGACAAAAGAAAUGAUGUUCUUGUAUCGAAGUGUUUACAUCCAGUAGAUUCUACAAAAAUUCAAUAUAAAUAACUGCAUGCCGGCUAGCACUCCUAUAGCUUAACAUAGUUCAUUGGUGCAAAAGAAGCGUUAGUAAAUGCAAAAACACCGUUUCAAGAGGUGAUCCUUAAUGUUUCUGCCGACUAUCACAAAAUAUAAUUGUUGUUUGCUGAGUUAGUAAAUAUUUGAAUAACUUCAAGUCUAGUCAUUAGUAGGCCAUAAAGCAAAUAUUUGGAUAUUUAACCCUUUGUACUCCUAGCACUUUUAUAUACCAGCAAAUCCAGCAGUUUUUAUAGUGAAAUAAAAGCUUUGGAAAUAAAAGACAUUGUUUUGAAUUCAAACGUUACAAAUGCUUAUAAAUUUACUUAUUUUUAUUUAUUUUAAAAAUAUGCCUCAUUCUAAUGUAAAUAAAACUUAAAUUUUACAUUUUGUUAUUCACCACAUAAUAUGUUUGAAAAUAGUUUCUGGGUCAUAUUCUUGGCUUAUUUCAAAAAGUAUCGCAGCAUUCACUUGUAUGGCGUCUUCCACCUUUUUCUUUUUCUCCAUAUUAAGGAUAAAAGGUCAGAAUUCAUCAUUCACAUCAUGCCACAUCUGCCACAUAGAGUUACUAGAGUUACUUAUUUAUUUUAACCUUAGGAUACGUUUUGCAUAGUUGUUUGUUUCUUCUAUAAUUUCAUAUACCAUUUGCUUUAUGAAAAACAAUUUGAAAUAUUAUAUGAGGUAAUAAUACUUAUGAUCCAAUUACUCUUGGCCACACUCUAAAAGUAACUUUUUCUGGUAUUUUCUCGUUUUCAGUUAUAUUGUACUAUUUAUCUUCAUCCUUUAAUAAUUCAAAAUCAAAUUCUUCUUCACUUUCACUCAGUUCUAACUUUUUAUCAUGACUUUCUUCUUUCUCUAUUUUUUAUCAGUAAAAAUAACCAAAGAAAAAUUUGCAUUCAAGAUUACAAAAGUAGCACAUUUUAAAUACACAUAUGUAUUGCCCAAUAGCCAAUGAUAUUGCAUGAUUCCCCAAAUGGAGUAUGUGACGAGUAUAUAGCACUAAACAAAUCCAACGAAAUGCAAAACAAAGAGCUUUUUUUGAUUUAUUUACAGCGAUGCCGACUACGCGGGCGGUAUUUCCACACGCAGAUCAACUUAGCAUCUUUAUAUUAAUCAACAAAUCAGUAUCCUAAUCCUCGUAAGCUGUGAAGUGUCAGGCGUAGUGUGAUCGAAGCUACGACAUCAGCAGUCAAAAAUAUAAUCUGAUUGAAAAACCUGACAGAAGAUAUUGGAUAUCUGUACGUUGGUGCAAUAAAAAUUGUCAUAUAUAAGAUAACUAGAAUGCAAUUAAAUUAAUCAACAGCCUAGAAUUUCUCAAACGCACGAAACAUAUAAAUGUCACUUCAUUACUUUUUAGGGUAAAAUUCAAAAACAAAAAGAUCGAUGUAUUGUCCAUCAAUUAAACAAUUAGCAAACGCAUUUACUAAAACUUUACCUAAAAAUUAUUUACAAAAGUACCUUGUUAUCACACACGUGCGCACCCUCAGCAAUUCACAAUAUUAUCUACUAAGGGCUGUAUAGCAUUAUUGAGAAUAUUUAUCCUUAGGAUAACGUUGAACUCUCACUAAGAAAAUCUCAUUUAGAUAAAAAAAAAUAUAUCGUCACCAUUGUCCGAGCUUAGACAUUGUUAAUCAAUCGUGUGAUCCUCAAUAAUGUGCCGAGCCGGACUAUAAAUGAAAUUAGACUCCUAGAUAAAGUGGACUACAAGUUUAUCUGGAAUCUACUUUUAAGAUAUCAAUUCGACGUUCAUGAAUCAAUACGGUCACCAGAACAAAAGGCAUCAUUUCUUCUCUUUCCAUGUCCUUUUUUAUUUGAACUCCUCUCUCUCUCUCUCUCUCUCUCUCUCUCUCUUUUCCUUUUCUAAUUUCAAUAUCAUCUUCGCGGAUAAUUAGAGAAAUCAUCAAAUAGUCGAUCUACACAUUUCGAGCUAAAAACAGUAACACAACCGAGUCUUAAUGACAUCACCGAUCAUCCUUCAUUCGAAGUUAGCCAGCACAAUUAAUGAUACACAUGGCUCCUAUGCUACCUCGUUACAUACUGACAAACGCAACCAAUUCAUCAACUUUACUACUGAAUGGACGACAUACAUUUAUUGUGAAGGAGGCCACCCGGGACGUGCUGGCUCGUAUAAUAUCUCGCCAAAUAUUGGCAAACGUAAUUAAAUCAUCCAUUCUAUUACUGAAUGAACGGGCCCCGAAAAACCCAAAACUCCUACCGACGAACAGUUUCGCCGUGAUCGACGCAAUGACGAAUCUAAAUUAUCCUUUAUAAAAAGGGUUUCUUUACGAAAAUCGUCAAAAAGAAAGAAACACUCAGCCGAAGAAAUGAGAUCUUUGGCUGUCUUCGACCACAUCCUUUCGUCGAUUAUCUCUUUCGGAGCAACUCUCUGAAGUUCGAAGGCCGGACAGUCAAGAAUGCGAUGCUGGAUCGUGUUCUCCUUACCAUAAUCGCGUCUUUCAUUUGUGACUAGACUCAACGACGUGAGUUUGAAUCACUGUAUUUUGUGAGAAUUGCGUGAAAUUUGGAGAGACGAAACGGACAUUCAUUCUGUCCGUGACGUCCGGAAAGAAAGCAAAAGUCAUUCUGCCUUUGCACGAUUCUUCUCAUCUCGAUUACCAAAACACUAUAACUUCCUCCUUAAUUCUGUUCUCCGAUAUGCAAUUCCUUUCUUGACUUCUCGCGUCGCGAUUUACCGUUUCUUUUCCGUCUCGGGAUUUCUAUAAUGUUACCGAUGCUUAAAAGUUGAAAAUCGAUCGGAAAUUCGUCGACAACGAAUGAAUCAUAAAAACUCGGUUUAUGCCGUACGAUACGCGGAUAUGAGGGGGCUUAUAAUUGCAAUGUAUUAAUUCACAAGUAUCUUUAUCUUUCAUGAAUUUUACAAAAUUCUUCAAAGAAAUUGCACUCUCCCAUUAAUUUACGGAACGCGGCGAGAAAUGUUUUGCGAAGAAUAAUCAACAAAUUCCAAACCUUUUUCGUGCUAUUAUUCUUUUUUUUGAGUCUACAACUCUAACACCUAGGAAGAAACGGGGAUAUCCUUUAUGCAAAUUAACUACUACAGUGAGAGAAGCGCGACGUAACACGUAAUUUAUUGUAUUUAAAAUACUUUGUUCAACAUCCAAUAAUCAUUCAUUCUUCUUCCGUUGUCUAUAAUUUCAUUAUAACAAGUAGAAAAUCUUUAUAUUUCAUCUUUUUAUCAUUAUAAAAAUUAUAAAUUCUGACAGCAUUGAAUAGACUGCAAUUGAUGAGAUAUAAUACCACUUUCUUUGAUCAUUUAAUUGUUUUUUUCAAUAUUGAAUAGUAUGAGAGAUAAUGAUCUGUGAUCUUGCGCCGUUCAUUAGAUUAUAUUCUACAAUACAUUCAACCAUUUCAAAUUUAUAAAUUAUGAAAAACAUCCAUAUUUCUCUUUUAUCUCUCCAAAUGUACAACAAAAUAUCACUUUUCCGUUCGAAAAUACUUUCUCCUUUUUUUAAUUUAAACUGCUUUGUUUCAAACAUCUUGACAAUCUAUUAGCGUAGAUUAUUUUAUUGUAUAACAGAAAUUCAGCAAUAUUCAAAAUAUUAUAAUUAUCCAUAUAAAGAUGGUGCCAAUUUCCGAAAUAUGGUGUAAGAAUUGUUGUUACAAUAUUUUACAGGUUUUGCUUUGACAAUAAAUUUCUAUAUUAUAUAUAUAACUAGUUUGACUCACCGAUUAUACUCGUACAAGUAUUUUAUAUUUGGUGAGCUUUCGUGGAUUGUUUGUUUUAAAUUUCAAUUUUUCAUGCCAAGAGAUCAUGGUUUCAUCCAAAGAUAAGUUUUGAUGAAGAGUAUAAACAAUUAAAAAUUUUUCUAUUAGAUAACUAUAAACAAAUUCUGUAUUCUAAAGUCUAUCAUUAUCUUUAUUCAUUUUCAUGAAAAUUGUUGUCAUUAAAAUGUAAAUAUUUUAUAAUUUGAUUAAAUCUAUUCUUGCUCAUUAAUUUUGAAAUGAUAGAUGUUGCCAAAUAUGAAUCCACGGACUAGUAUUCUUUUAUUUUUUCUCUUCACUUUCAGAUUCAAGAAUCUCAAUUUCAUCCUUGCUUUGACACAAUCUUCAUUAAUGUUGACCAUUCUUUGUAGCAACUCAUGAUCUCUUUUUGAAUUACUCAUGAUAACUAAAGAGUGAUUCUUUAGAAUAUAGUAUAACUAGUACUUUUUCCUAAUUCUUUAAUAAUAUUACUAAUACUCAUAAUAAUAUGAUAUUUUCUUCUAAACAUCUAUUUAUUUGCACUUUCUGAAACUUUUUGUAGAACAUUUAUACACUUUGACCGCAAUUCAACGACUGCAGUUCGUUCUUUAUUCUUAGGUCUAUCUAUCAAUAUUUCGUCCACACUUUAAAUAUAUAUGAUAGAUAAGCACACGUGACAAAUCUAUUUGUUUCCUUUAUUCCAGUGAACUGCGACGUGUUGAUAUUGGCUUCAAUGCUAUUGAAAAAUAUUCACGUUGAAUUAUGAUUUUUAUUUAGAAUCUACAUUUAUUUUUUAAACGAUCGGAAUUGGAUACAUGAUCAUCACUAAAAUACAGCAUUUAUAAAAGUAAUAAAUAACAAUCUUUGCUGAUUACUUCACCAAAAAUAUCGCUUUUCGAUAGUUUAUUUCUGCUCUAGUAUUCUGCUAACGAUACCCUUUUGUUUCUGAUCAGAAAAGAGAUAACGAUGAAGCAAAAUAAUUCAUUUAGCUAUGUACCAGCUAUUAUUUUAUUGUUGUUCUUCUGUCGUCAAUAGUUGUUUGUUUUUUUAGCAAUAUAUUUUAUCAAUUUUUUGCUAACAAAUAAUUGAAAAUCUAUAAUUUUCCAUGAAUAACAUAUGCCUACUUGAAUUCCUGCAUUAAUGUGGAUGAAUUUUAAUGUGCAUUAAAGUGAUGAAUUUUACGAUUGAAUUUUGCCAUUGUUCCUAUAAUAUUUGAUUUGAUUGAAGUACGACCUCACUUUUUACUCAAUUACCUUUAAUUUCUUCAGACUCUGAGGUACUUAGCACCUUUACUCAUCUUCUAUUUUUGUACUCGAUUCGCUUUCAUUGCAGUUAUACAAAUCAAUUUCUAAUUUAUCAAAUGUGUUCGUCACUUGCAACUUUCUUGAAACCAUUUUGAGAAAAGCAAAACCUGAAUUCUUUAUAUACGAAAUGAAAAGCAAAUUGAUACUUGUAAGAAAUGAGGAUACUUUUAGACAAUAGACGGACGUACCAAUACAAAGAUCCUCUGAAAUUCUUGUUCUUAAAGUUUGCUCUAUUCGCGUUAAUUGUCUAUUCCUUUAUACCACCUAACAGUAAUGAAAAAUAAUAGAGGUAGAACAAAUAUGAUUCAAAUUGUGUGGAUUUCUUUUGUCAAAUAAUUUGCGCGACGGUCAUAAGAGGCGCUGCUAUUUAAAAACAAAGUCGCAAAUAUUGCCGGCUUUAGCCGACGUAUGUCUCACGAUAUGUUAUAUCAUAUAUGUCGGAUAUAUCCGGCGUUAGAAACGAAAAAGAAACACAUCGUUAGAUUCAAACUACCAAGCCAAAAUAUGACAUACCGCAAUCCUACCACUGUCAAACAUAGGAUCACAAAAAAUUACUGUAACAGACCCUUAGUUUGUGUAGAAUAUAUAGGCAAUCAUUCUACAACAUCAUGUUCACAGCAAAGCAAAAUUGAAAACGUUAAGUGUAGUAAUUGUCAUAGGAAAUAUCUUGCUGUACAAUCCGUGAACAGUUACAACUGAAAUUCUUUCCUAUCUUAAGGAAAAGAAACGAACGAUCUCCUUUGGAAAUAAACAAUAAUUAUUUGACAUACAAUUCGAUAUAUGCAUCAACAAUUAGGCAUGUUUAAUCAUUAUAUGCAAACAAUAGAACCUACGCAUAAGGAAAAAUAGAACAUAAUAUCUAUAAAAUCAUAAUCAAUCUGUUGAUAUACAUCCUAGGUACCGAAGUAACAAAAAAAAGAAAAAAGAAAAUGCAUAAUUAAAACAGCUACUACUCCAACCGAUCAAAAACACAAAACUCAUUAUCAACAUGUUAGCAACACAAAGUACAUUGUUACAGCAUAAACACAUGAAUUAACUACGAACUUCAGUUAAAAUUGUCAAUAAUAACAAAUAAUGAAUUGUACAAUCAAAAUAGCAAUAUGGAAUAGCAACAGGCUAUAACAGAGACUGCAAAGUCAAUUUAUUUCCUACUCUGAUGAUACUGAUUAUAGCAAUUUCAGAAACUUAUUUUACAAUAAAAAAUCACAUUAAAAUACGUCAUAUAUAAUACUAACCAUUCCAGAGGAAAACACAUAGGAGCACCGCCGUUAUUAUUAAAAUAGGUGUAGGUUUAUAGUAGCCUAAACUGACAAAAGUGUGACCGAUACCUAGAAAAAAAAGCAACAAACAUUAAGAUUAUUCAUCAUCUUUCACUCGAAAUGUGUUUGACUUCAGCGAUAGAUAUGGACAAAAUAUGAACUACGAAUAUUUUGUUUAUAUAUAUUAUAUAUAUUCCUACAAUUUGGAAGGUUAGCCGGGAUCGGAUCGUAUUAAAUCAAAAUGACAUGAUUAAAGUAAAUAUUCGUGUUGUCCAAGAAGUGUGGUGCAAGUUAUACAGGAAAAAAAUUCGUUGUGAAUGGUAUUGUUUUGUACAGUGCACAUUAGGCAAAUAGCCACAAGUAGUUUUAUAUUGCACAGUGCAUUCAAGAUGUUAAACAAUGCAGCCUUCAAAGAAGAAUUCUGUUCCAUCACCAAAUCUAUGGCAACGGAAGAACUUGGACACAAACUGCAAGGGCUUGAUUUGUCAAUAUACAAAGGUCCAAGGUGGUAUUAGUUAAUAAACUAAAGAAAGCUAUACACAAUACAGAUAAAGCAUAAGAUGGCGAGGAGUCAUCAAUACACACUGAUGAUCGUGAUGAUCGAGACAGUGAUCAUAAAAAGAAUCUUGACACGCUAUUUAAAGACAAAUUAAAGGCGAAAUUUUGUGUUUUAGAUAUAAAAUUGACCAGCAAGAAGGCAGAAUUGGCGAGGAGACUGAAAGCAGUCAUGAUAGCGAUAAAGAUGACGAUAACAGCGACACUAAAGACGAAGAAAAAAAGCAAGAUGCAAGAAUUACAAGAUGAAACAACAUGAGAAAUCGUGAAAAUUCUUGGAUUUUCUCGUAGCAUAAUGACUUUUAGAGAUGUCAAAGAUGCACUUGAAAUUUACAGUGGCGACAAAGGUUCGAAGAACUGUAAAAACGUGCACAUAAUUAAAAAUGGAGAAAGUUACUAAGAGAUGCAGCAAAAUUAUUCAUUAUUUUUGAAUGUCACGCGAAGACAUUGGCUAAACAAAAAAGAAAACUUAUCAAAGAAUUUUCGGUAAAUAGUUAAUGUAAAAAAGACGGUAAAUAGUAAGCAAGCUCAUGAACACUUCAGCAAAAUGAAAAAGAAGCACGAUGAAUCAUAUCAGGCGUAUAUAUAUUAUGUAUUAGAAAUGGCCAAUUACGCGGAAAUUGAAUUACGUUAAAAUUCAGUAUACAGGAUAAUACCUGAACUAAUGGUACAACCGCGAAGAUUAUUAUUCUACGUGAAAAAAAAAAUAAAUGAGGAAUAAAUAAUUUAAUGAAGAAUGUUUUCAUACGGGGCACCGUUUUCGAGAAAAACCACUUUAAAGGGUCACAAGGUACACAUGCAUUCAAUCACGUUUCCACUUGACAGAUUUCGCUGUAGACGAUACCUGCUCGAAUUUAUAUUUGUAAACAUUGCUAAUGUCAUGACUUAUUGCUUGUCCGUCCUAUUAUCUUAACAGUAUCGAAUCUCAGUUUCUGUCAAUCUAUCAAUAUGACUAUAUACAGAAAUCGAGAAUAUACUGACAUGAUACUUACAUUAGGUGUAUGUGGUGGUAAUGCUUCUACUGCAGCUAAUUAUUAUCAGGUACGACAUCCAAAUCGCCAGGCGAGUCAUUCAAAGAGCAAAACGAGUGCUAGAAGAACACGGAUCUUUUGAUUUACUUUGUAGACAUCGAGGUCGCUUUCAAUAAAGAACCAUGCGUGUGGAAAAAAUAUUCUAGGACACAAAAUAAACUGACGAUAAAUGUAAAGAAUCUUUUUUUGCGACACAACGUUAGUGUUACAACGAUUAUCCGUGUAUUGCAUGAACAGGAAAUGUAUCCUUAUCACUUCACUAGAGUAUAAGAACUCCAACACCGCAAUUACAUUCCGCGAAUGGCAUUUUGUCAUUGGAUGCCUCAAUAAAAUAUGCAUGAUCCACAAUUUUUAUUGAAAAUUUGGUGAACAGAUGAAGCAAGAUUUACUAAAGACGGAGUAAUUAAUUUAUGUAAUUUGCAUACAUGGGCAUUUGGAAAUUUUCAUAUUAUUGUUGAAACGCACUUCUAAUGAGAUGAAUGUUUGGAGUGGUAUAGUUGGAUGAAAAAAUUUUAUUCCUUAUUUUUGACUUAUCUUUUUCAUGUAGAAUCAUAAUCUUUGCAGUUAUACCACCAGUUUGGGUACACCUUGUGAAAUCGAGGGCAUUCAGACAACGAAACAAAUAAGUCAAUAUUAUACAAGAUUUAUCCGAAAAAUAUCCGACCUUGUGCUAUAGCAAGAAAAAGCUGAUGUGAUCAAUGACGACGAUAUCCCCUUUAAAAUAUUUUGGAAGCUACAUCCUUCUUCCAGCGAUCCUCCCACUUUCGAAAACACACUUUGUAUUCAGCUUUCGGAAUAACUAACAGCCGUUUCAUCGCGUUUCUUUUUAUUUUCUCCAGGUCAUUGAAUCUUUUUAAAAGGAUUUUUCAAUGUAAAAAACAGCCAGAAGUCGCAAGGAGCAAGAUCAAGACUGUAUGUGAAGGCUGAUAAAGCCGAACAAUGCCGUAUUUCAGAAGAAAUUGCCGGAUAAAUUGCAUUGUUCGAUGCAUUCAGUUGAUUUGUUCGAUGCGUUUAGUCAUCAUAAAAUACGACACACACGAAAUUCAACGUUUACUCAACAGCGUACUGUUGUCGACCGAAGACUCGAAGCAUCGUGCUGCCUGGCAGAGGCACUCAUGAAGGUCCUCUCUGAAUGAUGAAUACCCGGUUUUAACAAUAGCACAUCCAGAUAUAAGGUUAGAGUACAAAGCCGGAUACUUUUCGGACAAACCUCGUAUAGUGCCUCUACAAUAAAAUAACUAACAAUCAGGGUCAAAAAAGUAAAGAAGUAAGGCUCAUUUAGGCUCGAUAAGAUUAAAGGUUUUGCCCGGACAAAAUAUCAAAGGUCCAAAAUGUUUUAAAUACGAGUUCGGUCACGUAUCGGCAAAGUGUCUGAAAAUCGCCAGUGCUAACAAAGAAAAAAUAGGAAAAACAAGUGUGAUUUGUUAAAAUCUGGUGACAAAAAGAUCUACAAAAAAGUGAAAAUUUUUAAUAAAAAAAUAACGUCCAUGCUAGAUGGAGGCAGCGAUCUACAUAUAGUGCAAUUCAGUUUUUAUAUACAGCUCGAAGCCCCGUUUCUCAAUUGUCCCCUUUGGCGAAGUAAGUGCUGCAAAUCGCACUUUGAGACAUUUUCAAGCAAAAAUGAAAAUCAAUAAUUAAACAUUUAUUUUCAAGUUUGAUAUUGUGCUUGAUGAUUUUCUAAGACAUGAUGUGUUGAUUUCAGAUACUUAUUUAGGAAGAAAAUACACAACGUUUGUAGAUCUUAAUAGACAUAACGAAUUUUUAAAGGUGCCAUUUGGACUGUGCAAUUUACCAGCUGUAUUUCAGAGACACAUGCAAACAAUUUUUCGUUCGCUAAUAAAGAGUACGAUGGAAUUACUUUAUCUACGACGAUUUGAUAAUCUCUUCAAGAAACGAACGGGAACAGAUGCAAAAAUUAAAUUGUAUUAUCCCUGAACUUUUGUAAAAACUUAAAAAAAUAGAUUUAUAGCGGUAGAAUAUUACAAUACCAAACAGCUUCAAUAAAAUAAUACCCAGAAAUAAAACACUACUUCAGGUCAUAGACAAAUUGUCUUUAAUAUCAAUAUCGAUAUGCUGUGCUCAAUUAUUUAACAAAUAGAAAGAAUUAUGGAAAAAAACAUCUUUGUGGACAUCUAAAAGCGACAACAACAAGUCAUUCUGAGAUAGUAUCGAAUUCUAGCCUGACAGCACGGUAAUUCACGCCAACAUUCGUAACGUUCAACAUAUAAUUAUACAAGCGAAGCAUUUAAAAAAAAAAAAAAAAAAUGUAGAAAAAACCAUCUCUUACAAAUUGACACAAAGUAAUUACAAAAGAUUUUGCUGAAAAAUAUCUCCACUGGAAAAAAAGUGUAUUCGUAUUAUUAAUAUAGUUCUGUUCGUUAAACGGUUACAUUGAUUUAACGAGUGGUUGCGCUAGUGUGGGUGUAACAAUAUUUACAUUUUACAUAUCCUAUACAUUAAAUAUGUCCUCUAAAGUAUCUAUAUAGAAUUGCAAGUUCGUAUCUUGUACAUGAAAGAAAUUGAAGAAGAAAGUAUAAACAUGGACUGACAUUACUUAUGUACUUUCUGAGUAUUCAAACUGAUCAAAAUAAUAGAACACGUAAUGUUUUCCAUUAUUAUGUAUUCUGUGUUCUAUCAGCAGUUAUUAGAAAUAGACGUGUAAAUCUUUCAUUUAUCUAGAACAUUUAUGUCAUUAAUGUUGAAAUGGGUUGAGGAUAACAAUUAGAUAAAGUGAGAUUUAGAUAAAAGAACCGAAUCUUGUUAUUACAGUCACAAAAUUAAAUUAUCACAAAAAUUGCGAAGUUAUUAAAUAGAUCUCGUGCUACAAUAGAACUAACAGGCCAUAUUACGUAUAGCUUCCAAUUAUAAUGGAAGUGCAAAAAGAAUUAUUGGAAAAGCAGAUGUUUCAGCUAACGCAAGAGCUGUGCAACAUAUUCUCUAAAGCAGUAAACAAAUUAAACAAAAAGAAACUAAAAGGAAAAUCUCCUUUAAGUGAAUAACAUAAGGAAGUUUAAAUUUUGUUUAAAAUUUGUUCGUGAUCAUGUUUUAUAGAAAAAGAAGUGGAGAAAUGCGAUAUUUAGUGACGAAAAGAAAUUUAUUUUGAACAGUCUUGAUGGCUGGAAUUACUAUUUCCACAAUCUAAGGAAAGAAGAAUAAUAUUUAAACCAUCAAAUGAAUGGUAGUAGUGUUAUAAUGUAGGUCGGUAUUGGAUAUCAAGGAAAAACUGACAAAAUUUUUUUCAAGUCAUAUAAACAUCGAAAAAUAUAUUAACACAUUGACUGUCAACUAUUGACUUAUUUCAAUAGUUUGUUUACUCGCCAUAUUUGUGCAGUUACGAUGAAAUUUGUACUAUAUCAGUGUAAAUAUGAAUAGAUAGUCUCAGGGAGAACAUAAAAUCAAGGUUGACUUACAUGAACAGAAAAUUUAUUAAUAAAUGAACAGAAAAUGUAAUCAUACAAAGUUUAUUCAAAAUCAACAAGCAAAAGAAUAUUUUAUUAUUUGUAAUAAUUUUUAAAAUAAUCUUCCGCGCAAAGGCUUCUUGAUAGAUUGGACAGAAAUAAUGCGUUUCUCUGCAUUUUUCAGCUUUGGUACAAAUUCGACAUGGCAUGUUUUUUUUCGGUAGGUGAGGUAUUGUAAAUAAUGAAUCUUUUUGCAAUCUAAUUUUUUUUGAAACUGGUUGAAUAUCUUUUCCAAUCAAACGCGUCGACGAAUGCUUCUCUUUAUAAGUAAAAAAAAACUUUAUAGAAAAAGUUGCUUUUUAAAAAGAUUUGUAUAUACAUAUAUAUAUAUGUAUAUGUAUAUAUAUAUAUAUAUAUAUAUAUAUAUAUAUAUAUAUAUAUAUAUCCUUAUAAUAUGUAAUGCAACCUUUUUGGGCCAUCUAAUAGUCUUUCUUAGUAGUACGAUAGCAUUUGAUCUGAUCGGUCAAUGCUAAACAUUCCUUGAUUGUAAUCUUGAAUUAUAUUUGGUUUCAUCGAAAGUUUUCCAUUAUGAUUGAACAUCUCUACCAUUUUAACAUGCAUGUUUGAACUGGUAAGGACUUCUUGUUUGUCUCUCCAUUUACAUACAGUAACAGGACCACUACCAAAUAAACUGCCCUUUUUUCAGUUUUUGAUUUACCACAUUUCUGGGAUUCCUCUUUCUGUUAUUUCGUAGAGUUCCACACAUAUAAGUUUUUCGUGUAGUCAAUUCAAUUUCGUCAAUACUGAAUUAUAAUUCAACAAAAUUAUAAAAAUUAUCCAUGUAUACUGUAAAAUAUUUUUAUCUGGCACAUAGUUUUGGUACAUAAUAUUAGUAUAGGUUGCACCUUGUAUAAUCUGUUGGAAAAUGGUAUUGAAUUAUCAAGUGAAAAUAACGCACUAACAAUUGGAAUUUAUUUCGAUUCAUACCAAUUUUUGCCAAAACAUUACAUUAUACAAUUUGCUUGUAUUCUUUUGAUUGUAAGUAAUGUUCUAUUGAAGAAAAAGGGCAAGCACCUUUUUGUAAUAGAAGUCGAAUGAAAACUUUCAUUUCCUGACGUCUUUUCACUGUGAUUCGUUCUUAGAUUUUUUUUAUUUGUUUAUGUUUUGACCACAAUAAUACAAAAAAUUCUUCCGAAAAAAGUAAGUCCAUCAGCGUUUUCACUGUAAGAUUUGUUGUAUCCAAUUUCAAACCAAUAUGUUCUCGGAAAAUAAAUAGUUCCAGAUUUUGUUAA